rnacentral:rRNA from 1 species
ACGAACGCUGGCGGCGUGCUUAAUACAUGCAAGUCGAACGAGAAAGCUCUUCGGAGUGAGUAGAGUGGCGCACGGGUGAGUAAUACAUAGGAAUGUGCCUGUAAGUGGGGAAUAACCACGGGAAACUGUGGCUAAUACCGCAUGUGCUAGAAAUAGUAAAGGUGGCCUCUCUUUGAAGCUACCGCUUACAGAUCGGCCUAUGUCCCAUUAGCUAGUUGGUGAGGUAACGGCUCACCAAGGCGACGAUGGGUAGCUGGUCUUAGAGGAUGAUCAGCCACACUGGGACUGAGACACGGCCCAGACUCCUACGGGAGGCAGCAGUAGGGAAUCUUGCACAAUGGGCGAAAGCCUGAUGCAGCAACGCCGCGUGAAUGAAGAAGGCUCUUGGGUCGUAAAGUUCUUUCGGCAGGGAAGAGGGAUAGCUUGUUUAAUAAAUUAGCUGUUUGACGCGUACCUGAAGAAGAAGCACCGGCUAACUCCGU